GAAAGAGCUUCUGCCCUGAGACUCAGAAAAAUAUUCUCCUGUGCUUUGGUUCAGUAUAGAUUUCUAAACCCUGAUCAUUGCUUAAGAGAUAUUCACUGAGGGUCCUACGUCUCUGCAAUUUGUGUAUGAAUAACAGAAUAAUUUCCCUCUUUUGUUUCGCCUUUCCUGUUCCUGAAUCUAAAUAAAGAUGGCUUUUUAGUAUUAAAAGUGGAAGAAAAUUACAGGUAAUUAUCUUUGACGGUAAAAACGCUGUAAUCAGCGGGCUACAUGAAAAAUUACUCUAAUUAUGGCUGCAUUUAAGAGAAUGGAAAAAAACCUUCUUGUGGAUAAAAACCUUAAAUUGUCCCCAAUGUCUGCUUCAAAUUGGAUGGCACUGCAGCUGGAGGCUUUGUUCAGAAUUGAUCCUGGGGAGCUACGAACCCAAAGUUUCACAGUAGGAAGGGGGAAAAAAGAAAAGAAAACAUUUUUCCUAAUGUAACAAUGCGAAUGCUAGAAAAUGACAAGACUGAUCGGUUUUAAACCAUUCUGAAGACUGACUGAGCGUGGAAGUUGCUCAACAAAAAAAGGAACGGGUAUAUUGUUGCUGAGACAAAGGAAAACCCACUCCCUUGGAGGAGCAUGACCUUUUCCUGUAAUUCUUCCCACUGCUGUUGUUGAGCUCCUUGGAUCCUGGCUCCUGGACACCAUCAUCAAGAAGACUUUAUGGAUGGGCUGUCCACCCACUGAGAGAAGAGGAGCAUCAGCUACAGUUUCUCUCUAGAUUGCCUUCUUCAUUUUGAGUAAUGACUGUCAGCAGGGUCAGAUUAAACACAAAACAACUGGACAAUUGCUUGGAGGACUAAACUAUAAGGGCACUAACAUGUCAAUAGUAGGCUAACACAUCCAUGGAAAAUAUAUUUACCAGCUCUUCUCUCAGGGAGGAUUCUGUGUGGGGUUGGAAGUAAUGAUUUGUUAAAUUCCUUAGGGGUAGAAAGUAGGGCAUAAUCAGAAUAUAGAGGAAUAUGCUGUUUGACUUCAGGGUUUCUGUUUUUCUUACUAGGAUAUAUAAAACAGGGACUCUAGCUAGAUUGUUUAUGACCACAGAGGGUAGGCUGAGUGCUCCCAUGAUCUUCCUGCUUGGUUCUUGCCCAUACAGAGGUCAGCCUUUCCUCUAAUAAAGAUUGAACAAGUAGUGGUCUGAGGGAGACACCAAUUCAUUACCCUACAUGUCUCUUCUCUGCACUCCAGGGCUUUGAUAAUAAAGACACUGGCAGACUAUCUAUCUUCCAUUUCUAUAAUGUGAGCCCUUAGGGAGUCUUCGUUCACUUGGGGGUGAGGGUCAUUGCUCACAGAGUAGUUCAAGUCAAAUGGAACUUGAACUCUUUGCCUAUGGGCCUGGUGGUCAGACUCUGUGUUGAGUUCAUUAGAUUAUUGGAGACACAAGGUAGAGCUGGAUGCUUCAAAAAUAUUUGGCUAAAGGAUGACAUUGCUGGUUAUUUGUAGAUAAAGCCAUGAUGGAACCUGCUUGGAAUCAUGAAAUAUGGAACUGGUGGUCAUGUUUAAAAAUACAACUAAUAGUUAAGUACCUACUGGACACUGUAGAGACUUAGGGGCUAGACAGACAUGGUUCCUGCCCCCUUGGAGCUUACACUGUAGCUUCCCCUUAGGUAUGAAGAACAGUGGCUACAACUAACAAAUGGCCACAAAGAUAUAAUUGAGCCAGUGUUCCAAUUAUUAGGGUAAUUCCUAUUUCCUUAAUCAUUCCUAUUGACCAUGUUCUAUAAGCCUGCAUUCUAUAAAUGGCGUAUGACCAUGGGCUGUUUCCCCCCAGCAAGUUGUACAAAGUUCUGUGGUACCAGGGAAAGGGCUUAAGGUUAGCAGGGCCUCUGCGGAAGGACAUAUGAAGUGACUUGGGUUAGGAAACAGGAAGGGAUAGGAUUCAAGAACAGCUAUUGCUUCUGUUCUAUAUAGGAAACUGCAGCGUGAAAAAUGCUGGGCUGGGAAUUUUGAGACCUGGGUUUUAGUUUGUGUUCUAAUACUAACAAGCUAUGUGACUGUGGGUAAGUCAUUUCACAUUCCAUUUGGAUGCCUCUUGAGUGACUCCAGGCCUCUCCAGCUCUAAAACAUUAAGAUCAGGCCCUACGCUACAGCUGGCCAGUGUGUAAUUCUUCUGUUUCUAUGCUGUUAGGUCAAAUAGAUCUUCAAUAGUUACUUGAUUGUUAUUACUUUUUUCUGAAGUGGGUGUUUUAUCAAUGUUUUAGGAUACAGUGAGUCUGCUUCUCCCCUUUGGAGUUAGGAAGGUUGUAGGAAUAUACACUGUAGAGCAUAUGGGAGCUUUAUCCCCUCCUUUUUUCCCCGCUACCUUUCUCCCUCUCCUUCCCUUCAUCACAUUUCUAUUGAGCAUAUGCCAUUGCCGUGUACCAGGUGUGUGCUAGGUUUGGAGAUACAAGGUAAACCUGAGACUUUCCCAGUCUCCAGGAGACAAAACCCUAAUUUCUUUCAUCUGCUGUCUUUCUCUUUGGAAAGAAUCAACGAUAUCCCAGGGGAAUGUGCCCAUGUCCCAGGGUAACCAACUACAGACAGAUGCCCCAUUCUACUCAAGCAACUUUUAGAGUGCCUUGAGAUACACAUCAGAUAAUUAUGCAGGGCCAGGCAUGGUGCUGCACACUUGUAAUCACAGCACUUUGGGAGGCCGAGGCAGCAGAUUGCUUGAGCCCAGGAAUUCAAGUGUAGCCUAGGGAACAUGGCAAAACCCCAGCUCUACAAAAAAAUACACAAAUUAGCUGCGUGUGGUGGCCUAUGACAGGAGGCUGAGAUGGGAGGAUUGCUUGAGCCUGUGAGGUCGAGGCUGCAGUGAGCCGAGAUCAUGCCAUUACUCCAGCCUGGGUGACAUAGGGAGACCCUGUCUUGAAAAAAAAAAAAAAAAGAUAAUUAUUCAGCCCUAGAGUCAUUGUGAAAAGAUCUAUCUUCAGAUAUAAGGAAGAAACAAUCUUUUAUUUCUUAGGAUAAAUCUGUAGAAGGACCUCCAGACAGUGAAGGCCACUGACUACUUUAUACUCUGUAAGCCAUCCCUCCCUGGUAGGAAGGACUAUUUCCAAUCUUACAGAGUACCUCUCAGCAAAUAGACGUUUUCACAUAUACUGUGAUUCAUACAUCCCUAUGGCUGGUGACCUCUUUAAAAAGGAAAGGAAAAAGCCUAAUCAAACAAAAAGAUGCUGCUAGUAAUUCUUACCCUAUUGUGAAUCCUAUAUAAGCAAAUUUGUAUCUUUGUUUUUUCCUACAUUAGCAGAUCUAUUUGAUGUAUAUCUCUGAGUGCAGAAAAUAUUUUAUGGAAAAAUCAAUAUAUGGAAUUUCAAAUUCAGAAUUGCUGAUACACACUAUUUGGUUUCACAAUUUUAUCCUAGGAAAUAGUAUUAGAGAUUUCAAUUUCUGGCUUAAAUGGUAGAAUUAAUUACUCUUAACUCUUAAUUUUACUUCUGAGUUGAGGUCAAGGAACAGGCAGACACCUGCAGUUAACGUCUAUACCUCUCCAUGGCCAAGAGUUUUAAUUUUCUCGUCUUCAAUUUUGUAGAUGUUCAUCAUUACUAAAUGGAUUGAUUAGUAUUUUAUCUCCUCUCCUUGUCCUUACUUUCCCUCUGGUAAAUAUGUUAUAAACAGUGUAAGGCUCCUAAGAUAGAGUAGCUGGUAGGACUUAGAAGAGAAACAAAGGGCACUGAUAACUCACAUAAAUGGAAAAUUGGCUCUGGAAUAACUGACAACAUAUUCAAGUAUUUUAGUGCAGUGUCACUCUCAUUAAGAAGAAGAGAAUCAGUAAAUCUAUGUGACUCUAAACAUUCUAAUGAAAAAAGGAAUAUUCUGCCAAUUAUCUCACAUUUCUAAAUAUCUGGAUAUUGGCCAUUGUAAAGACAAAACAUACAGAUGAUGGACUUGUCUUUCCACCUCUCAUUUGCAUGGUUUGGAGCAUUGUACCUCCAGCCAUAGACUCUAAGGCAAUUUAUAUUUGCUUCCUCUUCCCUCUUGAGAGAAAACGAAAAUCUUAUUUUUCCAAGCAAUUAAAACUCUUCUGCUUCAGCUAGGAUGAAAGAAUUAGGAGUUCUGUCUCCUUGUAUCUAAUUGCAUGUUUCAUCUUUCUUGUUUUAAUGAUUGACAGAAAACUAAUAAACUGAGACAUCUUUGAAUCCAGGUUGAAUGUA
rnacentral:lncRNA from 1 species